rnacentral:rRNA from 1 species
UUCGCAAUGCCCGAAAGGGUGACGAAGCGACGCCGCGUGUGGGAAGAAGGCCUUCGGGUUGUAAACCACUGUCGGGAGUUAAGAAAUGCAAGGAUAUGAAUAGUGUCUUUGCUUGACUAAGGCUCCGGAGGAAGCCACGGCUAACUCUGUGCCAGCAGCCGCGGUAAUACAGAGGCGGCAAGCGUUGUUCGGAAUUAUUGGGCGUAAAGAGCACGUAGGCGGCUAUGUAAGUCGGUUGUGAAAGCCUUCCGCUCAACGGGAGAACAGCAUCCGAUACUACAUGGCUUGAGUGCGGGAGGGGAGAGUGGAACUUCUGGUGGAGCGGUGAGAUGCGUAGAUAUCAGAAGGAACGCCGGAGGCGAAAGCGACUCUCUGGAUCAUUCCUGACGCUGAGUGCGCGAAAGCUAGGGGAGCAAAAGGGAUUAGAUACCCCUGUAGUCCUAGCCGUAAACGAUGGGCACUAAGUAGAGGGGUUUU